AGGAGUAAUAGGAUAAGCAGAAGAAAGAGGACCAUACGGAAGAUACGGACUAUGAUCUUUCAGGACUUGGUAAAUUGGCCAAAAGGACCAAACAGACCAAUCAUUGCCAAGAAAGAAGAAGUCAAAGAAUGUCUAUUAGUUUAAAAUAAAACCAAACACAUUGCAGCAAACUGCCUGGCUCCUU